GAAUCAGAGUCGAGUGUUUGGGAAUGUUGCUCAAAAUGGGAGGUAAACCCCUUCUAAAGCUAAAUACUGGCCAGAGACCGAUAGCGCACAAGUAGAGUGAUCGAAAGAUGAAAAGCACUUUGAAAAGAGAGUUAAAAAGCACGUGAAAUUGUUAAAAGGGAAGCGCUUGCGACCAGACUUGCGCCCGUCGGAUCAACCGUCGCUUGCGGCGGCGCACUCCGGCGGGCUCAGGCCAGCAUCAGUUCGUCCGGGGGGAGAAAGGCGGCGGGAAUGUGGCUCUUCGGAGUGUUAUAGCCCGCCGUGUAAUACCCUCGGGUGGACUGAGGACCGCGCGUAUGCAAGGAUGCUGGCGUAAUGGUCGUCACCGACCCGUCUUGAAACACGGACCCGACCCG
rnacentral:rRNA from 1 species